UGGCCGCAAAUUUGUUCUGUGAAAAAUAACCAGUCAAAACCCUAACUUAUAAUUCGGGUGGGCUUUUAGGGUUUUUAUGCGGCUAUAAAUUCACAGGCAACUACUGUGUUUUCAGUAUCAUAGAGAUAGCACGAUGCCUCCCGGGCUUCUCUGAUAAAUUUCAUGACGCGAAAGCCCCGAUGCACGUGCUACAUCGAUGCCGUUCGUGUUGCAGUUCUGCCUAAUUCUCACGGCGGAUCUGUGUCAAAGCAAUGGCUAAAUAUCAUUCUUUUCAAUUUCAAUAUUUUUUUUUGUUUUUUAAUUCGCCUCACUACACCUUUAGCUUGAUUUCUAAUAUUUCCAUGAAAAUCAAAGCUAGUCAUAGAGGCGCAAAUUGAAUCUCAGGCGGUUUUCACGUGGUGGUUUUAACUUUCAUUGUUUAUGCCUCUAAAAAAAUUCGCCACAUUAAAUUAACGUUCUUAGUCUUUUAUAUUUUUUAAUCCUAGUUUAUUGGCUAUGAUUACAAAUUAUCCGCGCUUCUGAGGUUUCUCUAUGAAGUAUAUCGGAAUAAAUGGUUGAAUUUCUUAAUAUGAGCCAAAAAUUAUUUAUUUAUGUAUUUAGAAUUGAUAUUGGUUUAUUUACGAAUUCUUUUUCUUCAAAUUUUUACUAUGAUAGUUGGCUAUGAGGACAAUUUAUUCAGCUUUAAUGCCAGUUCUGCUUCUGAAAAAUCUUGAUUGAUAGAGCUGUGAUAUAUACUGAGCCUUUUUCUACUCUAGUUUAAUUUGUGUGUUUUUUCUACCUUUAUUUCAUUAUGUCUUCCUUAGAGCUAUGAUAGUAUGUUAAUCAGAUGGUUCACAUUUGCCUGUGAUUAUAUUAUAUCCAAUUGUUUGAGGUGUUUUGGAGCCAAGCCCCUGUCUACAGGGAGAACCUACUUGGUGAAGGGACAUUCAUAUGACAUUACCGGAUUCAAAUGAGGCUUUGAUUGUGAAAAAAUGUUUGUGUUUUUCCUCCUUAUCUGAAUUAUUUCGAAUAAAUUACUUGAUUGUGUACUUUUGUGAGUCCUGUGUUGUUUGUUUUACAUUGUGUUGUACCAAUGAUGUUUUUUAACAAUCCAACUUGUCUGAGGUUGUAGUUAACCCAAGAUCCUGUUUACAGGGUGAACCUACUUGGUGUUACUACAUUUCCAAUGACAUCAGAGAUUAAACUGAGGUUCAUCAAUCUUAUUGAUCUGUAUUUUUGAAGUUUACUACCGUAGUUUAGAACUUUGUUGUCUUUAUUUUGUUUUAUUGAGUUUUAACUAUACUCUUUUCCUUUUUAUAUGGUUUAGAGUCUGAAAAAACUCAUAGAUUCAGUGUUGUCUAUCAGCUUCAUCUUUUGAUUCCCUACGAGAAUGGAGUUAAAUAACAGCACAACAUUUUGAAAUUAUAUCUAUAAUAAUUAAUCUUAACCAUAAAUUCUUUAAUUUUAAUAUUCAAUCUAGUACAUUAGAGUUUUCAAAUUCUCAGAACAAAAUUCUAAAUAUUGAAACUAAUUUGACGGGUUGAUUGCGAUGAUUAUAAAAAAUUCCUCGUACUGAUUGCUAUUGGCAUGACAGACACGUUACACCCAUAGAAUAUGAGCAUCAUCCUCGUUAAUAAUUUAAUUUGUUGUCAAUUUUAUGUUUUUUCAAUGAUUGUAUUUUUAUAUAAUAUUCUGAAUUGGAGUUUAAUGCUGUAUUGCGGAGUACGAUUUACAUAAUGAAUGCUUUGUCUUCAGCUAACUCCUCAUAAAGAUUGAAGUGGUGUUUAAAGCCCUGUCCAAAAUUUAUUGAGAUUGGGGUUACGCACACCUCCAUAAUCUAAUACAUUCACAUUGUUUUGAUUGGUUUAAUUAAUUCCGAUUAAUAAUUCAUUCGCGUUGUGAGUUGUUCGGUUUUAUUUUUAUAUCUGUUUUUGCUUUUCGGUUUUUAUUCAGUUUUGGGAAAUGAUGUUAAUAAUGCCGACAGAAGCAUUAGCUCUGCUGAAUUAUUAUUUGCACGUCAGUCUGAUCCUAAAUGUCAUCUACAGAGUACUCUGUUGGUAGAGUUAUGUUGUUUUUUCUAUUAUCUUUGUUCUUUUGCCUUUGAAAUGUUUGUAUGCAUUCACCACCUGUUUUUAGAGCACGAUAUAAUUUGUUGGGAUUAUGGUUUAUUGUUCGAUGUUCUAUUGGAUAUACUCGUGAAAGUUAUGGAUAAUGGUUUUGCUUUAGGUUUUCGUUGUUUGACAA